rnacentral:misc_RNA from 1 species
AACCUAGCACACCUGCGGUGUGUACCUGCGGAGGGAUCAUUAACCUUUCAAAUCAGGGUGCGGCGCGGCCCCCGAGGAGCGGAAACAAUCCUUGGGAGGUAUGCGGGGGCUUCGAGCCCCCCAUUUACGCACGCACGACUGCCAUCCUUACUUUACGAGCACCUUCUGUUCUCCCUCGGCGGGGCAACCUGCCGUCGGAACCGAAUAAACUCUUUUUGCAUCUAGCAUUACCUGUUCCGA